rnacentral:rRNA from 1 species
UACGUAGGGGGCAAGCGUUGUCCGGAUUUAUUGGGCGUAAAGAGCGUGUAGGCGGCCAUGCAGGUCCGUUGUGAAAACUCGAGGCUCAACCUCGAGACGUCGAUGGAAACCAUCUAGCUAGAGUCCGGAAGAGGAGAGUGGAAUUCCUGGUGUAGCGGUGAAAUGCGCAGAUAUCAGGAAGAACACCCGUGGCGAAGGCGGCUCUCUGGUACGUGACUGACGCUGAGACGCGAAAGCGUGGGGAGCGAACAGG